GGGGCUUUCAGCUACACCUCGGUACAUCUCAUUAUUUUCUAUAUGUUUAUUUUUGUGUUUAUGUGCUUUAUUCUUCUAGUUGUCUGUUAUUUCUUUUUCCCAUAUUUUUGUUGUCUCUCUUACUUUUGCAUGCUUAUGUGUUGGAAUGUUGGUUGCUAACUUGUCAUAUUUUUGAAUGUUGUCUUGUUCUUGUUAUAAGUUAAAACUUCUGAUGAUUAUAGCAAGGUAACUGUGUGUGGUAACUUACUGUUUGGAGAUUUCUGUUGUUGACAGGAAAAGCAUGUAAUAUUUUGUAUAACUAUGAUGUUCUUUUUCCAAAAUUGAUUGGUCAUCAUGCUAUUGCAGUUAUUAACGAAGCAUAUUAAAUCUUUUGUUGUUUGUUAUUUGUGAGAAGUUGUAAUAUUUAAAAUAUCAUAUUAAAUAUUUUAAAUAUUAAAUGUUAUUUAAUUAUUUACAAUCUAAAUGCAUUAAAUUCUUCACUGGGAAAGGUAAUAUAACUAUAGACCACAGGUGAGUUACUCAUGCCAGGAAAUAUACUUCAUAGGGAAUGCUGAGUUAUAUUCUUCAUAGUGAAUGCUAAGGAGAUGUGCCUGGUAAGGAAUGCUGGGAGAUAUUUAUAUCUAUGUUGGAAACAAUUAUUUAGGGUAGAUAGCUUGAAUGACAAUGUGUUCCAGUACGUCAAAAUAUUAACCAUGAAUUUCAUUAUCAUAAAAAUAUAUUAUAAGGUAAAACUAAUAUUAAAUUCUGAAUCUAUACUAACACAGGCAUGAUUCUCAACUUGCAUGUACGUGUUCACAACAAUACUAUUGGUCUAUCAAUAAUAAAUUUCAAAUUAUUUUCCACAAUUAAUAUUUGUUUCUUAUCAUUACAUAUUUUGAGUUUAUUGAGCA
rnacentral:misc_RNA from 1 species